AUAUUCCACAGUUUGUACAGUUUGUUCUGCUCUGAGCUACAUAAUGUUGGUGAUGCGUGUGGCUGAACUCCUCCUCAUCACUGUGAUUACUGUUCUUCUCUUCAGAGCUCGAGGGAACCAGAGACCACCUGAUGACAACAUUGAUUUAAACUCAGUAAGAAGCCGAACUCAAC